GGUUAAGCGACUAAGCGUACACGGUGGAUGCCCUGGCAGUCAGAGGCGAUGAAGGGCGUGCUAAUCUGCGAUAAGCGCCGGUAAGGUGAUAUGAACCGUUAUAACCGGCGAUACCCGAAUGGGGAAACCCAGUGUGAUUCGUCACACUAUCAUUACGUGAAUACAUAGCGUAAUGAAGCGAACCGGGGGAACUGAAACAUCUAAGUACCCCGAGGAAAAGAAAUCAACCGAGAUUCCCCCAGUAGCGGCGAGCGAACGGGGAGGAGCCCAGAGCCUGAAUCAGCAUGUGUGUUAGUGGAAGCGUCUGGAAAGGCGCGCGAUACAGGGUGACAGCCCCGUACACAAAAGCGCAUGUGUUGUGAGCUCGAUGAGUAGGGCGGGACACGUGGUAUCCUGUCUGAAUAUGGGGGGACCAUCCUCCAAGGCUAAAUACUCCUGACUGACCGAUAGUGAACCAGUACCGUGAGGGAAAGGCGAAAAGAACCCCGGCGAGGGGAGUGAAAAAGAACCUGAAACCGUGUACGUACAAGCAGUGGGAGCACCCUUUGGGGUGUGACUGCGUACCUUUUGUAUAAUGGGUCAGCGACUUAUAUUCUGUAGCAAGGUUAACCGAAUAGGGGAGCCGGAGGGAAACCGAGUCUUAAUUGGGCGUUAAGUUGCAGGGUAUAGACCCGAAACCCGGUGAUCUAGCCAUGGGCAGGUUGAAGGUUGGGUAACACUAACUGGAGGACCGAACCGACUAAUGUUGAAAAAUUAGCGGAUGACCUGUGGCUGGGGGUGAAAGGCCAAUCAAACCGGGAGAUAGCUGGUUCUCCCCGAAAGCUAUUUAGGUAGCGCCUCGUGAAUUCAUCUCCGGGGGUAGAGCACUGUUUCGGCUAGGGGGCCAUCCCGGCUUACCAACCCGAUGCAAACUGCGAAUACCGGAGAAUGUUAUCACGGGAGACACACGGCGGGUGCUAACGUCCGUCGUGAAGAGGGAAACAACCCAGACCGCCAGCUAAGGUCCCAAAGUCAUGGUUAAGUGGGAAACGAUGUGGGAAGGCCCAGACAGCCAGGAUGUUGGCUUAGAAGCAGCCAUCAUUUAAAGAAAGCGUAAUAGCUCACUGGUCGAGUCGGCCUGCGCGGAAGAUGUAACGGGGCUAAACUAUGCACCGAAGCUGCGGCAGCGA
rnacentral:rRNA from 1 species